rnacentral:lncRNA from 1 species
AUGAAAGACCCGGUCAUACUCUCCACCGGCAUAACAUAUGAUCGGAUGAGCAUCGAGAAUUGGAUAUUUUUGAGGAAACACAACAACUGUCCGGUAACUAAACAGGAGCUUACGGAUGUAGAGUUGACUCCUAACCAUACCUUGAGAAGACUCCUUCAAGCGUGGUGCACCCUCAAUGCAUCGUACGGCAUCCAGAGAAUCCCCACUCCAAGACCUCCUGUGAGUACUUCUCAGAUUUCGAAACUCAUCAAGGAUUCGAAAUCUCCUAAGCUUCAAAUGCGAUGCCUUAAAAGACUCAAGUCCAUUGCAUCAGAAAAUGAGACGAAUAAACGUUUAAUAGAAGCUGCCGGAGCAGCUAAUUUCUUGGCCUCAAUCAUUAGAAACGCGAAGAGAUCGUCAGAUAGUGAAGUGCUUGAGGAGGAAUUUGAAUUGACAAAGCCUGAAGAUGAGGCUCUUAGCAUUCUGUAUCAACUCCAACUAUCCGAAACAAGCCUGAAGUCUCUAGUUGGAGAAAACAGUGAAUUCAUCGAGUCCAUGAUUCAUUUCAUGAAGUCCGAAAACUACGAAUCACGUACUUACGCUGUUUUGCUCUUAAAAUCAAUCUUCAGUGUGGUGGAACAAGCAGAAAUGAUGAGUUUCAGAGGCGAACUGUUAAAAGAAAUAGUUCAUGUUUUGAAAGAUGAAAUCUCUCCCAAGGCCUCCAAAGCUGCAUUGCAAGUACUAAUCUAUCUAUGUCCCUUGGGCCGAAACAGGAUCAAAGCAUCAGAAGCUGGAGCCGUUCAAGUAAUCGUCAAUUUCCUGAUUUCUCAUCCGUCGGAUAAGAGGUUCUCCGAAAUGGCUCUCACCGUGCUUGAACUGCUGUGUCAAUGUGCCGAAGGGAGAUCGGACUUGCUGAAACAUGGAGCUGGAUUAGCUGUUGUUUCUAAAAGAAUACUCAGGAUUUCCCGAUUUGCGAGUGAUAGAGGAGUGAGGAUCAUACAUUCUAUCGCAAAGUAUUCGGGCAGUAACUCAAGUGUUCUUCAAGAAAUGCUGCAGCUGGGAGUUGUAUCAAAGUUGUGUUUGGUGCUUCAAGUGGAUUGUGGAAGCAAGACUAAGGAAAAAGCUACGGAGAUUCUUAAGAUGCAUUCCAGAGCUUGGAGGAAUUCUCCUUGCUUGUCCACGGCUGUGCCCUCUUUCUAUCCAGCUUGAUCAAAGAUCAAUAGAUGUAGAGAACCAAUUACAUUCAAUACUCUUUGUAGGAACAAUUUUUCGCUUUCAGUUGUACAUGAUCUAAUUUGAAUAUAUGUAGUUAGGGUAUACAAAUCUCUAGCCUGAAAUUUUAGAGAUGUCUGGGGAAUACAUAAUUGAGAAUACUAUUUUUUCUGAAUUAAUUUGCAGUCUUAUGAUUAAUUUAACUUGGUGUUCAUACAUAAUUUUCUCCCUGUGAGGCCUCGUUUGUUUUAGGGAGAUUACUGUUAAUUAGUAUCAAUAAGUUACAAUUAAAUUCGCAGUUUCAUGAAAAUCAAUAUAUGAAAUUUGCACUCUAUGGCCUGGGCUAUACGCUGGCAUCAAUUACGAAAUCGUGCAGAUUAGCUGAUUAUGUCUGAGUGAAAUUUGCAUAUAUCUUCCAGACGGAUAUGAAAUUUUCUUGCGUUCAGAGUUCUGCUUCUGCAUCAACCAAGUUGCAUCCUUAUAGGUAGACGAAGGAAUGCAUCAUUGCAAGCGCAGAAGUCACUAACAAUCUAGUAGACGAAGGAAAGAAAGACCACAUAAUUAAAAUAUAUAGUUAUCCAUCUUUAUAUAAUCAUAGCCGCAAUGAUGGACGAGAAGUUUUUGUAUACGUCAUUUUUUGACAUGUUUUUCAAGACUCAUUUAAAAUAGAGUUAUAUGCAAUUGACACCCCUUAUAUUCGGACAUAAUGCAUAUUGCAUCUAAUAGUUUUGAAAAAUACACUUUGCAGCUCCAGACUUUUAACCCGUAGACACUUUGCACCCUUUCCGUUAAUUUUUGCCGUUACCGUCAACUUUUGCAGGGACAUUUUGGGAAAUUUAAUUAUAUUUAAUUAAUAUCAGACUUUUAUUUAAAUUUUCUGACCAUCUAAAUGAUAUUUUUCGGAAAAACUUAAAGAACGAAAGUUGUAGAGAAUAAAAAGAUCUUUUUAGGACAAUAAAGUUCAAAAUUUAAAUAAUUAUUUAAAAAUGAUUGUUCAUUUUUACAAGAUUUCUAAUUUUUGAUUUUUUUUAGAAUAAUUAUAAGAAGAAUUACGAAAAUUUUGAACCUUAUAGUUUUAAGAAGAUUUUUUUUAUUCUCUAGAACUUUCGUUCUUUAAAUUUUUCCGAAAAAUAUCGUUUAGAUUGUCAGAAAAUUUAAAUAAAGGUUUGAUAUUAAUUAAAUAUAAUUAAAUUUCCCAAAAUGCCCCUGCAAAAGUUAACGGUAACGGCAGAAAUUAACGAAAAGGGUGCAAAGUGUCUACGGGUUAAAAGUCUGGGGCUGCAAAGUGUAUUUUCCAAAACUAUUAGGUGCAAUGUGUAUUAUGUCCAAACAUAAGGGGUGCCAAUUGCAUAUAACUCUUUAAAAUAUAAUUUUAUAAUAUUUUUUUAAUUUUUUUAAUAAAAAUCUGAUGUUUAAAUUUUUAGUAAUAUAUAUUAUUAAAAAUGAAAUAAAUUAAAAUUUUAUAUCUUAAAUACUAUGACAUAACUAUUUAAUUCAUCCUGUAUAUGGCCAUCUCGGUUGGCGGAAUUUAACUAAAUUUGACAUUAUAGGAAUAAAUUAAAACUAUUUUCGGCUCGAUCUAAACUUCAACCGUCAAAACUUAUUAAAUUUUCCAGAAGUAGCCAAUUUUUGCGGUACAUGUGCCCUGCAGCACAUGAGUUAUCUUUAUAUUUACUAGUUUUCUUCAUCUAAAAACCAUAAAUUUUUAAUAAAUUCAUAUGAAAUAAAUCGGAAAUUGUUUCAACUUAAAAAUAAGAUCGCAUUUAUUUUAACUUUUUAUCAGAAGAAAAGCGAAAUGUGGAAGAACUUUCCGGCUUGCAAAUCUGUAAAUAUAUCAAUAUAGAAGGAAAUCUCAAGCUAUAAUCUAUAUUGAGUAUAUUUUUUUAGAGUAAAAAAUUCUGAAAAUAUUCGAUAACAAGAAGAAAAUUGAACAUGGGGAAGGAAGGGUGAAGGUGGCAAAAUACCCCUUCGCGUGAAACAAGGACUCUCCGGUAAUGGCUGUCUGUCGACAGCUCAAUCUUUUUCACCGUUCUACCCAUACACAGAUCUAAUUAUAUUUAUAUUUAAAACUUAGUGGCACAUACACAAAUCUAAUUAUAUUUAUUUUUGAAGCUUAGUGGCGGAAAGUCAAUGCUAAUGCACCACACAUUAAGAGAGGAAAUCCUCCUUUAAAUAAAAAAGAGAGACAUAUCCAAGCACUUGCGAUUUGCGAACUGUCAUCUACCGGCGCCUACAUAAAAAUAAGCAUACAUAAUCAAACUAAUAUCUUGACCUAGUAGAUUAAAGUUUACUUAUAGCUGCCUCUUCGAACCUACUUUUCUAACUCUCUUUGAAUUGUCUUCACAAAUUAAUCUCGUCUCGCCAUCCAAUCCGUUUUUCCGUGUUUUGACUUUGAUCACAAGAAUGCAUCCAGUCCGCACUUAUAUAAGUAAGACCAAACCCCCUCUACUAUACUCCAAGUCAGAUCUCAACACCUUUGUAUAUAUAACUACCUUCUUUACUCUCAACCGAACACAUAUAAACAUAAGCCGAUCACUCUUCUUUUCCAUCUUCGUAUCAACAAAUUUUCUUGUUUCUUUCAUAUAACCUCGAUCAAACAUCUCCUAAAAUUCAUUUAGAACCUACUUUCUAAUGGACGAGAUUGAAGUUCCUUCAUUUUUUCUGUGUCCGAUUUCUCUGGAGAUCAUGAAAGACCCUGUCAUACUCUCAACCGGCAUAACAUAUGAUCGGAUGAGCAUCGAGAAUUGGAUAUUUUUGAGGAAAAACAACAACUGUCCGGUAACGAAACAGGAGCUUACGGAUGUAGAGUUGACUCCUAACCAUACUCUGAGAAGACUCCUUCAAGCGUGGUGCACCCUCAAUGCAUCAUAUGGCAUCCAGAGAAUCCCAACUCCAAGGCUUCCUGUGAGUACAUCUCAGAUUUCGAAACUCAUCAAGG